GAAGCGGCAAUAGCUCAAAUUUGAAAUCUGGCGUCUUUGGCGUCCGAGUUGUAAUUUGAAGAAGGUAUCUUUGGUUUUGGCUCUUGUCUAUGUUUCUUGGAACAGGACGUCACAGAGGGUGAGAAUCCCGUGCGAUAAGAUGCCCAAUUCCAUGUAAAGUUCCUUCGACGAGUCGAGUUGUUUGGGAAUGCAGCUCUAAGUGGGUGGUAAAUUCCAUCUAAAGCUAAAUAUUGGCGAGAGACCGAUAGCGAACAAGUACUGUGAAGGAAAGAUGAAAAGAACUUUGAAAAGAGAGUGAAAAAGUACGUGAAAUUGUUGAAAGGGAAGGGCUUGAGGUCAGACUUGGUUUACCAGGCCAGCAUCAGUUUGGAUGGCAGGAUAAUAGCGGAGGAACGUGGCACUGCUUCGGUGGUGUGUUAUAGCCUUUGUUGAUACUGCCUGUCUAGACUGAGGACUGCGUCUUU
rnacentral:rRNA from 1 species